AGCAGUCGCCACGGUAAGACAGAGGAUGCAAGCGUUAUCCGGAAUGAUUGGGCGUAAAGCGUCUGUAGGUGGCUUUUCAAGUCCGCCGUCAAAUCCCAGGGCUCAACCCUGGACAGGCGGUGGAAACUACCAAGCUGGAGUACGGUAGGGGCAGAGGGAAUUUCCAGUGGAGCGGUGAAAUGCGUUGAGAUCGAAAAGAACACCAACAGCGAAAGCACUCUGCUGGGACGACACUGACACUAAGAGACGAAAGCUAGGGGAGCAAAUGGGAUUAGAUACCCGCGUAGUCCCUGUCUCUUAUAA
rnacentral:rRNA from 1 species